rnacentral:rRNA from 1 species
CCUACGGGAGGCAGCAGUGAGGAAUAUUGGUCAAUGGACGCAAGUCUGAACCAGCCAUGCCGCGUGCAGGAAGACGGCCCUAUGAGUUGUAAACUGCUUUUGUACGAGGGUAAACUCAGAUACGCGUGUCUUUCUGCAAGUAUCGUACGAAUAAGGAUCGGCUAACUCCGUGCCAGCAGCCGCGGUAAUACGGAGGAUUCAAGCGUUAUCCGGAUUUAUUGGGUUUAAAGGGUGCGUAGGCGGUCGGAUAAGUUAGAGGUGAAAUCCCGAGGCUCAACUUCGGAAUUGCCGCUGAUACUGGUCGGCUAGAGAGUAGUUGCGGUAGGCGGAAUGUAUGGUGUAGCGGUGAAAUGCUUAGAGAUCAUACAGAACACCGAUUGCGAAGGCAGCGUACCAAGGUACUUCUGACGUUGAGGCACGAAAGCGUGGGGAGCAAACAGGAUUAGAUACCCGAGUAGUC